rnacentral:rRNA from 1 species
CCUACGGGCGUCAGCAGUGAGGAAUAGUGGUCAAGGGGCGCGAGCCUGAACCAGCCAAGUCGCGUGAGGGAAGACGGUCCUAUGGAUUGGAAACCUCUAUUGUCGGGGAGCAAAAGACGCCACGCGUGGCGUUCCGAGAGUACCGGAAGAAAAAGAAUCGGCUAACUCCGUGCCAGCAGCCGCGGUAAUACGGGGGAUGCGAGCGUUAUUCGGAUUUAUUGGGUUUAAAGGGUUCGCAGGCGGAAGAUCAAGUCAGCGGUAAAAUUGAGAGGCUCAACCUCUUCGAGCCGUUGAAACUGGUUUUCUUGCGUGCGUGCGAAGUAUGCGGAAUGCGUGGUGUAGCUGUGACAUGCAUAGAUAUCACGCAGAACUCCGAUUGCGAAGGCAGCCUACCGGCGCUCAACUGACGCUCAUGCACGAAAGUGUGGGUAUCGAACAGGAUUAGAUACCCGAGUAGUC